UAUUGGUAAUCCCAGGUUAUAUAUCUAUAAUCCCAGACUUUUGGGAGGCUGAGGCUGUAGGAAUGCAAGUUCAAGAAUCACAAGACCCUCUCUCAAAAAGAUAAAAAGGAUAACCAUCAUCCUCUAGAUUAGUUGACCAUUUCUUUAGUUGUGGGCAGAAGUGGGGGGAAAUUACAGAAGUAGUGAAGCCAAAGGUGAAUCUUUAUGUAAUUAUGUUUGCCACUCUAGUCAUCUUAACUAAUUUGCAUACUGUGCCAACUAUACAUGUUAAACGUAACUAUCAUAAUGAUAUAAAUGAUGUAAAAAAUUGUUGACAUUCAGAGCAGAUUAGAUAUAUUUUCUUAUCACAUUAAUCCACCAUGUCUAUGGUCUUCCAUAAAUUACCUUCUAGUAUGUACUGGGCUUUAAGUGUUAUUUAUGUCUGGCUUAACUUUUUCUGACUUCACCAAUUGCUGCCAGGAACAUGGCUGGUCACUUAGCAACGUAAUCCAAGUCACAGGGGAGGACAUUGAAAUAUCUGAAGAUGAUCUCUGAAUACACUUACUCCAAAAGAAGUGCCAGUGAACUUCAUCUCCUUACUGAAAUCCUGAAUUUUUGUCAGCUUUUUUCAUUAUGAACAGUAAAGCUGAAGAGAAAAUAACCCAACAGGAAAACACAGAUGAGUGUGCAAGAAUUGAUUUGUGAUGACCUUGAGCUGGACCUAUCAAAUUUUUUGACAUGUUCCGUUAUCUGGAUGACAGUACAAUUUUCAGAAGACCUACAAGAGCAACAGUGUUUCAGUGGUGUAUAAUGCGGACCAUCUACCUGUUUGGGAAGGAUUCAGUAACAGGAAUAAAUGGAUUCAUCCCUCAUUUUAAGAUGUUACAGUGAAGAUACAUUCUUGAAUUUUAUAAGCCAGAUUUUCUUCAGAUUGGAAGAUAAAAAUGAAAGAAAUGUUUAUCAGAGCCCGAAGAUUGAAUAUUGGAUAGCUGCUGAAUCUUCUUUUUGAAAUUUAUCUACUUCAGUAUCUCUUUGGAAAAUUCACUGAAGGAAACUGUUGGUCCUGGGCAGAACGUCCCUCCAGUGGCUCAUCUGAAGAGUUAAAUCUGGAUUUGACUGCUGUAUUCAGAAUGUUGUUAAGCUGGCUUUUAGCCAAUCUCUGAGAGAACUAUAAUCACUAGUUGACCUAGUGAUUCUGAACAGAUAGAAUUCCUAUUUAGAGCUUCCCCAUUAUUUAAAGCAAAAGCAUUUUCUAGAUGAUGUAAAAGGUUUUCUUUUUAGUUUGUUUGGUGAUAAGAGUUUUUGUUAAUCACUUGGGAAUAUUCAACAUAACAAAUUAUUCAGUACAAUCAGAUUAUAUAAGUAAGCUUCUGAAAUUUUUCUUUUUAGCAUAUUUAAGUGUUGCAAAACUUGAAAUCAAAUCCUGAUAUGAUAAGGGCUAUUCCUAUUUGCUAAUUCAUAAUUUCUCAAUUUACAUAGCUUACUUCAGUUGAUUUACCUAAGGCUUGGUUUUGUUUCUUUCCAUUGUUGUUUGGUUUUAGUUUAUUUGGGACCAGGUAUAGUGCUCCACAUCUGUAGUCCUGCCAGUCAUAAAGCUGAGGCAAAAAGAUUGAGAGUUCAAGGCAGUGUAAGCUACUUAGCAAGACCCUGUCAUAAAUAAGAGGUUACUUUGUUCAUCUGGUUUAACGUGUGUAAGUACAUAAUAUUCAGAUGAAAUACAUUCUCAAAGUCAUUUUCCAUGUUUCACAUUUGCUUUCUGUAAAUUUAAUACUCAGACAAGCACUAUGGG